UGUAGUAAUGAUGGCACGAAGGAUACACCUGUUCCCAUUCCGAACACAGAAGUUAAGCUUCGUAACGCCGAGAGUAGUUAGAGG
rnacentral:rRNA from 2 species